CCUCUAUAAAUAUCAAUCUUAAGUUUAUAAUUGAAAAUGGAUCAAUAUAUUCUGAUCACCAUCUGCUGUGUUAUGUAAUGACCCUUCAGUUACUGGUUUGCUUUAUGCUACUAGUCAAUCAAUCAAUCAAUAAUGUAUGGAAUGCCUUCUAUGUUGCAAUACUGUGCUAGAUUUUAAAGAAUAGACAAGCAAAGUAAAGGGGAUCUGGGACAGACUUUGAGGGAUGCUUUUGAUGCAUUAGCACUCGUAGCCAAGCCUAGGCUUUUUAUAGAUGUUGACUUGUUAAAGCCAUACAGCAAACCUAUUGGGUUAAGAUCACUAUUCUGAUUUUAUAGAGAUGGAAACUGAGGCCGAGGGAGACUGAGAUGAUAAGAGUUGUAGUAACGGUUAUGCCUGAUUUUUUCCAGGGAAGGAUUUUCUGCCUCCACAACUCUCUCCAGUAUGUUUGACAUUUCUUCUCUUUUCAGGAGGAGAGACAGGUGGCUAGCAUAUUACGCAAGGCAAGAUCAUUUAUAAUUAAGAGACGUGCUGGUGCAAGGAGAAGCAGACAGGCUCAGCAAGGAGAGUUACUGGUAUGGGCUGAAGAAGCAGAGAAGUCGUUGUAGAAAGAAAGACAAGUUGAGUAGACAGAGGAGGCAGGCCACUGGGAGCAGAAACUUGGAGGUGUGAGCAGGGGCAGAAGGUUUGGGGCAGAGCACAGAGGAGUCAGAGUGAGUGGGAAGAAGACCCUGGGCUGCAGUGCAGAGUCACAGGUGUGUUCCUAGCACCAGCAUUAUGGUGAGGCUGGAUCCAUAAAUAGGUGUUAGGGACAAUGGGAAGUAGGAAGCCAUUGUGAGCUUGCUGGUGGGAUGAAUGUGAUGUUUGUGAUGGUUACAUGAGGACAGUUGAACUGGGGAUGUCAAGAAGUUUGGGCUUGUCUACUCUCCCUCACCAGACUGCCUCCGUCCUGGCAUGGAUUGCAUUCGUCACUGGCCCCUGAGGCUGGAAGAGGUGUCAUCAUAUGUGAAGAGUGUGAGCUGAGUCUGAACAAUUUGGGCCAUCUUCCUCACAGAGGCCAAGAGAGCCUGGCGCUUCCUGACACGUUAAAUCAACACCUGUGCCUUCCCAGUGUGAUCUUCACAGAAGCCUUGUCAGAAGCUAUUGUCCCAUCUAGCAGAUGAAUAGACCAACACUCAGAAGCCCUCAGUGAUCUAUCCAAAGGAGACGUGUCAGGGCUGGGUCCCAACUCCAGGUCCUCUUUC
rnacentral:lncRNA from 1 species